GGGGGAGGGGGGGGGGGGGGCGCUUGCCUGAAGUGAAUCCGGUUGUUGUGAUCGAGAGCACAUUGCUCUUUGAAGGGGAAAGGAGAGGGGUUGAGGCAGAGAGGGGGAGGGGGGAGGGGGAUUUUAGGUUUUUUCGGAGAGGGGAGGGGAGUGCAUGCUUGGAGGAGGUGGCCUGAAGGGUCCAAUGCGAGAGGAGGAUCGCAGAAGAGGAGACGCUCCCUACUGCACAGCAGAGCAGGAGCAGGGAUGUUAGUGUUGGGACCAGGAGGUGGAUUUGUCUCUAGGGAGGGGGAUAGAGGAGGGGGAUGUGUCUCUAGGGACAGACAGAGGUUGUAGCGGUGAUGCAGAGUGUUAGUUUAGUUUAUGAGCAGGUAAUCUCCACAUGUGUCAGAGAGUGAAAAGAGGUAAACAGAAGGAAGGAAGGAAGGAAGGAAGGAGGGGAUUAUUGAAUGUAAUGAAUACUGCUCCUAGUUUCACCAUUGCCCUACAUUUCUCAAGAAUUCUAAUAUGUGGGCACAGUGUUUGUUUUAUGAUGGUGAAGAUCAUUUGAUUUGAAAUUAAAGUCGGACUGAAGUAGAGUGAGUUAUGAAGUGAAAUUCGUUUUUUUUUUUUCGUUUUUUCUUAAAGCAUCGUUGAUUCGUGAAUGUUGUUGCUCUUAUUUUCAGACACUUGGGCUUUAGGCCCAGACGGCUCUUACUGACUGGAUUAAAAGAUUGUGAGCCGUGGUGUGGCGUGGUGUGAGUCUGCUCGUAAUGCUGGCUCUGUGAGAUUGCUCUCUCUCUGGAUGUAAACAGAUUUCUUAAACUGCCCCAAACAGAUAGUUAGAGGGUUGGGUCUUCAGCCACGGCCAAUAUGGAGCCAUUCCUGUGGCGUGUGGUCUCUGACAGGGGCAAGAGAGGAGACAUGCAACUAAUGUGUGUGUGUGUGUGUGUGUGUGUGACACACACAGACAUUAGUAAACCCACACACACACACACAGACACACAAAUAGUUUGCUGUGUUGACUUGGUGGUGUCACUGCAACUAAGCAACCGCAGGUAGCACCAUCCAGCACAGAGACGUCCUGGCACCAGCGCUGUUUACCCACCUUUCUCCCUCUCUCCUUUCUGGAGGAUCACUCUAUCCCUCCCUCUCUCCUUUCUGUGGGAUCCCUCUAUCCCCCUCUCUC
ensembl:lncRNA